ACUCUCGGCAACGGAUAUCUCGGCUCUCGCAUCGAUGAAGAACGUAGCAAAAUGCUAUACCUGGUGUGAAUUGCAGAAUCCCGCGAACCAUCGAGUUUUUGAACGCAAGUUGCGCCCGAAGCCUUCUGGCGGAGGGCACGUCUGCCUGGGCGUCACGCCAAAAGACACUCCCAACACCCCCCCGCGGGGCGAGGGACGUGGCGUCUGGCCCCCCGCGCCGCAGGGUGAGGUGGGCCGAAGCAGGGGCUGCCGGCGAACCGCGCCGGGCGCAGCACGUGGUGGGCGACAUCAAGUUGUUCUCGGUGCAGCGUCCCGGCGCGCGGCCGACCAUUCGGCCCUAAGGACCCAUCGAGCGACCGAGCUUGCCCUCGGACCGCGACCCCAGGUCAGUCGGGACUACCCGCUGAGUUUAAGCAUAUAAAUAAGCGGAGGAGAAGAAACUUACGAGGAUUCCCCUAGUAACGGCGAGCGAACCGGGAGCAGCCCAGCUUGAGAAUCGGGCGGCCUCGCCGCCCGAAUUGUAGUCUGGAGAGGCGUCCUCAGCGACGGACCGGGCCCAAGUUCUCUGGAAAGGGACGCCUGGGAGGGUGAGAGCCCCGUCCGGCCCGGACCCUGUCGCACCACGAGGCGCCGUCAACGAGUCGGGUUGUUUGGGAAUGCAGCCCAAAUCGGGCGGUAAACUCCGUCCAAGGCUAAAUACAGGCGAGAGACUGAUAGCGAACAAGUACCGCGAGGGAAAGAUGAAAAGGACUUUGAAAAGAGAGUCAAAGAGUGCUUGAAAUUGCCGGGAGGGAAGCGGAUGGGGGCUGGCGACGCGCCCCGGCCGUAUGAGGAACGGCUCCUGCUGGUCCGCCGAUCGGCUCGGGGCGUGGACCGUUGUCGCCCGCGCCGGCGGCCAAAGCCCGGGGGGCCCUAGGCGCCCCCGGCAGCCGUCGUCGGCGCGGACGGUAUCCGCGCGCCUCUGGCACGCCCCUCGGGGCGCUGCGCCGCAACGGCCUGCGAGCUCCCCAUCCGACCCGUCUUGAAACACGGACCAAGGAGUCUGACAUGCGUGCGAGUCAACGGGUUCAGAAACCUGAGAUGCGCAAGGAAGCUGACGAGCGGGAGGCCCUCACGGGCCGCACCGCUGGUCGACCCUGAUCUUCUGUGAAGGGUUCGAGUUGGAGCACGCCUGUCGGGACCCGAAAGAUGGUGAACUAUGCCUGAGCGGGGCGAAGCCAGAGGAAACUCUGGUGGAGGCUCGAAGCGAUACUGCCGUGCAAAUCGUUCGUCUGACUUGGGUAUAGGGGCGAAAGACUAAUUGAACCAUCUAGUAGCUGGUUCCCUCCGAAGUUUCCCUCAGGAUAGCUGGAGCCCACACGAGUUCUAUCGGGUAAAGCCAAUGAAUAGAGGCAUCGGGGGCGCAACGCCCUCGACCUAUUCUCAAACUUUAAAUAGGUAGGACAGCGCGGCUGCUUCGGUGAGCCGUGCCACGGAAUCGGGAGCUCCAAGUGGGCCAUUUUUGGUAAGCAGAACUGGCGAUGCGGGAUGAACCGGAAGCCGGGUUACGGUGCCAAACUGCGCGCUAACCUAGAACCCACAAAGGGUGUUGGUCGAUUAAGACAGCAGGACAGUGGUCAUGGAAGUCGAAAUCCGCUAAGGAGUGUGUAACAACUCACCUGCCGAAUCAACUAGCCCCGAAAAUGGAUGGCGCUGAAGCGCGCGACCCACACCCGGCCAUCUGGGCGAGCGACAUGCCCCGAUGAGUAGGAGGGCGCUGUUGGAGACUUGUUCUCAAAUGCUAUAAAUUAAGAACAAGGCAACACAAGAAACGUUAAACGUUAAGGUCCUUCGUCCUUCGAAGCAUUAUUUCCCUUAGGAUAUAAUGAUUUUCGGACGAAGGUUAUGAAGGACUUACCUUCAUAAAUACGGCAUAAAACAAUGAGGAAAGAAACAUAUGAAACAUGAUGAAUGACAUAAUAUAUAUUGUAAUCAAUUCAUUUCCAUAUUAUCACCAUAAGAAAAAUGAAAAUGAAUUCAAAUUACAAAUGUACCUUCGGCUCGAAAGAAGAUGAAAGUACAAGCGUGAUGCUAAAGCAAAUGCCAAGUCAGCGUGAACAGUACGGGGGUACUGUUCACAUAUUUAUAGACACGGGGUACAACCCAUACAAAAUUACAUACAUGCCCUUUACAUUUGAUGGUAAUUCUAUAGUAAUCUAUCGAGGUCUGAAUGGCCUUUUCAUCUUUAAGUCGGUUCCCCUUUCUGCAAUCAUGCCGAAGCUUUCCUGCUCACAUCUUCGGCGCUGUAUCAACCUUCGCAUCUUCUGAGCUUCUUCCUCUAUGGUACCGAUACGAGUUCGAAGAUACCUGUUCACACAUUAUACUCCAGAAACACUGUUAAAUCAUGUUUUUGAGGUCCUUCGGAAGCCGAAGGCCCCCAACAGUAGCCCCUCGCAAUAUUAAUUUGUUAAAAUAAUAAAUUUAGAUUGCGACAUGGACGAAGGCUUUAAGCCGAAGGUCCGAAAAAACACCUUCCCUUUGCUAGAAUAGCAACAUUCACUGACAGGCGGGGUCUUUCAAUUUUUACCGCACUGAGCGUAUAAAUAAGAGCAUACCGCGAGCUUAUUUGGUACGCUCUCUUGUCAAUUGCUCUCGAUCACUCGAUUUUUAGCUUUUGCGCGUUAAAAUUCCCUGAGUCUUUAGUUUUAAAGCUUCGGCUUUGAAAAUAGUUUUUU
rnacentral:rRNA from 1 species